GCCGAAGUAGCUCAGCGGUAGAGCACCGCUUUCGUAAAGCGUGGGUCGUGGGUUCGAUUCCCACCUUCGGCUCCA
rnacentral:tRNA from 1 species